GAUGAACGCUGGCGGCGUGCCUAACACAUGCAAGUAGAACGCUGAAGGAGGAGCUUGCUCUUCUGGUUGAGUUGCGAACGGGUGAGUAACGCGUAGGUAACCUGCCUGGUAGCGGGGGAUAACUUUUGGAAACGAUAGCUAAUACCGCAUGACAACAGCUACUGCAUGAUAACUGUUUGAAAGGGGCAACUGCUCCACUACCAGAUGGACCUGCGUUGUAUUAGCUAGUUGGUGAGGUAACGGCGCACCAAGGCGACGAAACAUAGCCGACCGGAGAGGGUGGGCAGCCACACUGGGAGGGUGACACGGCCCAGAGGCCUUCGGGUGGGAGCAGGAGGGAAUCGUCGGGAAUGGGCGGGAGUCUGACCGAGCAACGCGGCGUGAGUGUAGAGGGUUUUCGGGUCGUAGAGCUCGGUUGUAGGAGAGGAACGAGUGUGAGAGUGGAAAGUUCACACUGUGACGGUAUCUGACCAGAAAGGGACGGCUAACUACGUG
rnacentral:rRNA from 1 species